rnacentral:misc_RNA from 1 species
CGAGGUUCAUCCUGGUAACCCUCACAAAAAAUCUCGCAACCCUCGCACA